AUGGAGAAUGGUUCUUUGAGUUCUCAUCUGUUUUCAAAGAGUUCGGCCGUAUUAACCUGGGAUCUCCGGUACCAUAUUGCACUUGGAACUGCAAGAGGCUUGGCUUAUCUCCAUGAGGAAUGUAAAGAAUGCAUUAUACAUUGUGACAUGAAGCCAGACAAUGUACUUCUUGAUGCAGAGUUCUGCCCCAAGAUUGCGGACUUCGGCAUGGCCAAGCUUCUAGGUCGAGAUUUCAGCAGGGCUUUGACAACAAUGCGAGGGACCAUUGGAUAUCUUGCACCGGAGUGGAUAUCGGGGUUACCGAUCACACAUAAGACUGAUGUUUACAGCUAUGGCAUGAUGCUUCUUGAAAUCAUAUCUGGUCGAAGGAACUCAGAGAAAAUUAAGGAAGGAAAGUUCACAUACUUUCCCAUCUUUGCGGCAAUCAAGGUGAAUGAGGGAGAUGCUAUGUGUCUGCUGGACAGUAGGUUGGAAGGCCAGGCAGAUGGAGAG
rnacentral:rRNA from 1 species